rnacentral:rRNA from 1 species
AUGAACGCUGGCGGCAUGCCUAACACAUGCAAGUCGAUCGGUAAGGCUCUUCGGAGUACACGAGAGGCGGACGGCUGAGUAACGCGUAGGAACACACCCUGCAGUGAGGGAUAAGACACCGAAAGGUGUUCUAAUACCGCAUACGGUCUUCGGAUUAAAGCAUUUAUGCGCUGAAGGAGUGGCCUGCGUCAUAUUAGAUAGUUGGUGAGGUAAUGGCUCACCAAGUCGAUGAUGUGUAGCUGGUCUGAGAGGAUGAUCAGCCAGACUGGAACUGAGACACGGUCCAGACUCCUACGGGAGGCAGCAGUGAGGAAUAUUUCACAAUGAGCGAAAGCUUGAUGGAGCAAUGCCGCGUGAAGGAUGAAGGCCCUCGGGUUGUAAACUGCUUUUAUAAGAGAAGAUUAUGACGGUAACUUAUGAAUAGGGGACGGCUAACUACGUG